AAGGAAGUGGCAGAGUGGCCAUGUGGUUGGCUUGAAACCAUCUCACGGGGGUUCAAUUCCUCCCUUUCUUG
rnacentral:tRNA from 1 species